ACAGUGUCGUUUCUAUGAGCAGUGGUUUUGAAGUAACUAGAUAUCGUUUCAAUCAAUUAUUCAAUAAGAUCAUCGUGUUUCCAUAAUCCACAAAAGAAUUGAUUUCAUUCGUUUAUGCAGUAAGAUGCUAAAAGCUAAGGCCUUCCUUUUACUUGGAUCGGUUCUGCUGCUGGCGCCGAAGGUUUCUGCUAACGACGAUGGAGUGACGGUCGAGACGAAAGAUGAAAGAGUAUUAUCUGAUGAUGCCGCUAAUGACCUAUCAUACGAGAGUCCGUAUGCUGAUCCGGCAAAAUACUAUUUUGCUGACCAUUUUGAUGACCAGGAAGGAUUCUCUUCGCGAUGGAUAAAA